ensembl:lncRNA
GGUCUGGUGGCAUCUUUGAGUUCUUGGGGACAUCACCGAAGUGGUCUGGUGGCAUCUUGGGGGUCUUUGAGGUCUUGGGGACAUCCCUGGGGGGUCCUGUCCCCUCCUGGGGGUCUCUGAGGUCUUGGGGACAUCCUCAAGAGGAUCUGGUGACAUCCUGGGGGUCUUCAAAGUCCUGGGGACAUCCCCGGGGGGGGUCUGGUGGCAUCUCAGGGGUCUUCGAGGUCCCCCUGCAGGGGUCUCGUCACCUGGGGACACCCUGAGGUGUCACCUUCCCUGGGGGCCACCGCCCGCAGUGUCCCCGUGUCCCCAGGGCCACCUCCAGUGGUGUCCCCGUGAUCCAGAGGUGUCCCCAUGUCCCCAGGGCCACCUCCAGUGGUGUCCCCAUGUCCCUUCAGGUGUCCCCAUGUCCCCAGGGCCACCUCCAACAGUGUCCCCAUGUCCUAAGGGCCACCUCCAGCAGUGUCCCCAUGUCCCUUCAGGUGUCCCCAUGUCCCUCAGGGCUGUCCCCAUGUCCCUUGAGGGCACCUCCAAUGUUGUCCCCAUGUCCCUUCAGAUGUCCCCAUGUUCCCGGGGCUGUCCCCAUGUCCCUUCAGGUGUCCCCAUGUCCUCAGGGCCACCUCCAAUGGUGUCCCCAUGUCCCUUGAAGCCACCUCCAACAGUGUCCCCAUGUCCCAGAGAUGUCCCCAUGUCCCUUGAGGCCACCUCCAAUGGUGUCCCCAUGUCCCCAGGGCCACCUCCAACAGUGUCCCCAUGUCCCUUCAGGUGUCCCCAUGUCCCUCAGGGCUGUCCCCAUGUCCCCAGGGUUGUCCCCAUGUCCCUUCAGGUGUCCCCAUGUCCCUCAGGGUUGUCCCCAUGUCCCUCAGGGCUGUCCCCAUGUCCCCAGGGCCACCUCCAACAAUGUCCCCACAUCCCCAGAGGUGUCCCCAUGUCCCUCAGGGCCAUCUCCAGCAGUGUCCCCAUGUCCCUUCAGGUGUCCCCAUGUCCCCAGGGCCACCUCCAGUGGUGUCCCCACAUUCCCAGGUGUGUCCCUGUGUCUCCAGAGGUGUCCCCAGAGGUGUCCCCCUGUCCCAGAGGUGUCCCUGUGUCCCCAGAGGUGUCCCCAGAGGUGUCCCAGAGGUGUCCCCAUGUCCCAGAAGUGUCCCCAGAGCUGUCCCCAUGUCCUAGAGGUGUCCCAGAGGUGUCCCCAGAGGUGUCCCCCUGUCCCUCAAGGCCACCACCCCUGCUGUCCCCAUGUUCCCAGAGGUGUUCCCCUGUCCCAGAGGUGUCCCAGAGCUGUCCCCCUGUCCCUCAAGGCCACCACCCCUGCUGUCCCCCUGUCCCAGAGCUGUCCCCCUGUCCCAGAGGUGUCCCCAGAGCUGUCCCCGUGUCCCUCAAGGCCACCACCCCUGCUGUCCCUGUGUCCCAGAGCUGUCCCCCUGUCCCUCAAGGCCACCACCCCUGCUGUCCCCCUGUCCCAGAGCUGUCCCCCUGUCCCAGAGGUGUCCCCAGGGCUGUCCCCGUGUCCCUCAAGGCCACCACCCCUGCUGUCCCUGUGUCCCAGAGCUGUCCCCAUGUCCCAGGGCUGUCCCCCUGUCCCUCAAGGCCACCACCCCUGCUGUCCCCAUGUCCCAGAGGUGUCCCCAUGUCCCAGAGGUGUCCCAGAGCUGUCCCCCUGUCCCAGAAGUGUCCCCGAGCUGUCCCCCUGUCCCUCAAGGCCACCACCCCUGCUGUCCCCCUGUCCCAGAGGUGUCCCCAGGGCUGUCCCCCUGUCCCUCAAGGCCACCACCCCUGCUGUCCCUGUGUCCCAGAGCUGUCCCCGUGUCCCUCAAGGCCACCUCCCCGGCUGUCCCCAUGUCCCAGAGGUGUCCCCAGAGCUGUCCCCGUGUCCCUCAAGGCCACCUCCCCUGCUGUCCCCUCUGCCAUCACCUGUUCCUUCAGCAGCCGCAGCAGCGUCCGGCGCAGCCAGGGCCCCCCGGUGUCCACCA